rnacentral:SRP_RNA from 10 species
GCCAGGCAUGAUGGUACUCAUCUGUAAUCCCAGCUACUAAAGAGGCUGAGGCAGGAGGAUCAUUUGAGCCUAGGAGUUUAUACUGUAGUAUGCUAUGUCUGUUGGAUGUCUGCACUAAGUUCAGCAUCAGUAUGGUGACCUCCCAGGAGCGGGGGACCACCAGGUUGCCUAAGGAGUGGUGAACACAGAUUGGAAACAGAGCAGGUCAAAACUCUUGUGUUGAUCAAGAGUGGGAUCAUGCCCGUGAAUAGCCACUGCACUCCACCCUGGGCAACAUAGUGAGACCCUGU